rnacentral:rRNA from 1 species
GUGAGAAACCUGCCUUCAUCAGGGGGAUAACACUCCCAACGGGGUGCUAAUACCGCAUGAGACCACGGGAUCGCAUGAUCCUGAGGUCAAAGGUGGCCUCUAUUUAUAAGCUACCGGAUGAAGAUGGUCUCGCGUCCCAUUAGCUAGUUGGCGGGGUAAUGGCCCACCAAGGCGACGAUGGGUAGCUGGUCUGAGAGGAUGGUCAGCCACACUGGGACUGAGAUACGGCCCAGACUCCUACGGGAGGCAGCAGUCGAGAGGCUUCGGCAAUGGGGGAAACCCUGACCGAGCGACGCCGCGUGGGGGAUGAAGGCCCUUGGGUUGUAAACCCCUUUUAUUCGGGAAGAAAUGUGAUCAGGUGAACAAUCUGGUCAUUUGACGGUACCGGAUGAAUAAGCUCCGGCUAACUCCGUGCCAGCAGCCGCGGUAACACGGGGGGAGCAAGCGUUGUUCGGAAUCACUGGGCGUAAAGGGCGUGUAGGCGGUCAGGUAAGUGGGAUGUGAAAUGCCCCGGCUCACCCGGGGACCGGCAUCUCAUACUGCUUGGCUUGAGUACGGGAGAGGAUGUGGGAAUU